UGGGGUGCUAUGGGGCACAAUAGGGUGCUAUGGGGUGGCCUUAUGGGGCACAGUGGGGUGCUAUGGGGCUCAAUGGGGUGCUAUGGGGCACAAUGGGGUGCUAUGGGGUGCUAUGGGGCACAAUGGGGUGCUAUUGGGCACAAUGGGGUGCUAUGGGGCUCAAUGGGGUGCUAUGGGGCACAAUAGGGUGCUAUGGGGUGGCCUUAUGGGGCACAGUGGGGUGCUAUUGGGCUCAAUGGGGUGCUAUGGGGCACAAUGGGAUGGUAUGGGGUGCUAUGGGGCUCAAUUGGGUGCUAUAGGGCACAAUGGGGUGCUAUGGGGCAUAAUGGGGUGCUAUGGGGUGGCCCUAUGGGGCACAGUGGGGUGCUAUAGGUCCCAUAUGGGGUUGUGGGGCCUAUAUGGGGUUGUAGGCCAUGUAUGUGGUUAUGGGGCCCAUAUAGGGUUGUGGGGCCUGUAUGGGGUCUUUGGGGCCCAUAUGGAGUUACGGGGCCUGUAUCGGGUCUAUGGGGCUUGUAUGGGGUUGUAUGGGGUACUAUGGGGCCCA
rnacentral:lncRNA from 1 species